UACGUAAGGCGCGAGCGUUGUCCGGAUUUAUUGGGCGUAAAGAGCUCGUAGGCGGCUUGUCGCGUCGAAUGUGAAAUCUCAGGGCUCAACUCUGACAUUGCAUUCGAUACGGGCAGGCUCGAGUUCGGUAGGGGAGACUGGAAUUCCUGGUGUAGCGGUGAAAUGCGCAGAUAUCAGGAGGAACACCGGUGGCGAAGGCGGGUCUCUGGGCCGAUACUGACGCUGAGGAGCGAAAGCGUGGGGAGCGAACAGG
rnacentral:rRNA from 1 species